UUGAGUUUUCUUAUGAAAAUAGCCUUUGUUGCUGGGAAGGCUGGUAAUUCAUAAACAAUAACCUGCUCUUUUGUGUGGAUAAUAAUAUAUUCAUGUUCUUUCAAUAGGGUAAAAGCCAGACCUAGUGCAUUAUGGUACAGUAAAAGCAGCAGCAGGAGCCGGCGGGAGCCAUCCAAGGCGGAGACGCCGCGCGGUGCCCAGCUCUCGGAAGCCUCCAGAAACGGCCCUCCGCUCGACUUGCUUGUUGGUUUGCUGCUGCCGCACAGCAUCUGGCUCCUCGUGGACGGGCUCCAGCUGUGCCCAUCGCCGCCACGGCGGCGGCAGCCGGGAGACCUUGCCUGCCGCCCCCGACGCCUGGGCUGCUCCGAGCCGCCUCGCGGCCCCACGAGGACGGGAGCCCGGACCAGACAGCAGCUGGACGUCUGCGCGGGAGGGGACAAACUACAGUUGCUGGUUCAACAGGAGGGAGACAUUUGCGAGACACCUGAGACACUUUGAAGAUCAGGACUCCAGCAGAAAUUGUGUACAAAUGAAUACACCCGUCAACAAGGCCCUGCUGUCCACUCCGUUGCGGAGCCCGGCCCAGUGGGCCCCCACAUCCUCCCACCCUCCUGCCACUCUGAGAAGGUGCACAGUCCUUGGAGUUGUGAGGGGCAGGUGCCCCCCGGAAGGUCUGCAUCUUCAAGGAACAGGAGCAUCUCCUCCUCACCUGUCUUGAUCCUCCUGGUGCACCCACAAUGCAGGGGCUAUGUGCCCGCAUCCCCGGACCAGUGGCCACAGACACCCCCCAACGGCAAGGAGGGCAAGACCCUGCUGGGGACAUUCUGACAUUUCUGGGUCUGACUGUCCGUGGAGAGCGAUCAGGAGGGAACUGAAUGUUCGCCAGGACGGAACUAACUGCGUGACGGAGAUUGAGAGCCUGUUGGCACAAAGUGGACAGGCAGUUGUUCAAAGAACAGCUGUCAUCAAACACCGGGACCACUCUCCAGUGCGUGACCCCCAGGGGGCCGCAGAGCACGCGGGGACGUGGGGACUGAGAGGGUGUGAUGCUGGAGAGACGGGCACCGGCGGCCCACCGCCAGCGGCUUGCCAGCCCUUCAGCCUCUCCACGGAGCCCAUGUUCCCUCCUCCUGCUGUCCAGGCCAGCGCCUGCAGGCUGGGGCUUGGGGCCACACUGAGCUAUGCUCCCUGAGGAGGGCCAGUCCUACCCCGGGCUCUUAGACAACUGGGCUCUGGAGGACGCCCGUCUCCUCUGCUGAAACCCAGAGGAACUGGAGACAACGUCCUCCCUGCAGCUGAAACUUGCUGGCUUCCUUAUCAGCCUCUCAGCCCUGGAGCAGCUAGCCAGGAUCGACACCUCGGUGUAGGUCGAUUGGAGUUGGAUUACAAAUGGCACUCGUCUGAGAGAGGAGGUGGUGGACUCUGUAUCUGAAGGCAUGCCCCGCAGGCAAGGAUGGACCCAGAAGCAAGCACGCACGCCUGAGCACUCCGUCC